CACCAGAUCUCUUGCUUUUUUUUUGCAGAAUUGUUCAGCUGCAGGAGGAUCAGGGUUUCUGUCAGUCGGGAAGGACACAUUGCUGAGGCCGGGAGAGGCGGCGAGACCUGGGGCUGAGAUACCAGAAAGAAAGGAAAUUCCUUAUGGCUUCAUAGAUUUUCGCCCCAUCACUGAAUUUGCUGAUUCCCAAUUUGUGUAACUUUAUUUUGUAAAGCAGCUAGUUACAGGAGCUUUCAGGAUGGACAAUCGGACUCGGUGGAGGAGGAAGAGAUUUUGGGAUUCUGUUCUAAUAUUACAAUUUAUUCUUUCAUUAAUAACUUAUGGUAGUGCAGUGGAACCAGUGGACAUCCUGAAGAUUCUAGAACUUCACAAUAUCCCCGAAGGAAUACAGAAAACGAUAGGUAUUUGUGCCAACAGAAAAUCAACGAAGACUGCCGAUGUUGCCUAUAAAGUAACCAAGUCAGCCCAGCUCAGUGCUCCAACCAAACAGCUAUACCCAGAUUCAGCAUUCCCGGAAGAUUUCUCCAUCUUGUUGACAGUUCGUGCCCAGAAAGGGAAGGGGGCUUUCAUCCUGUCCCUCUACAACGAGCAGGGAAUCCAACAGCUGGGUGUGGAAGUCGCUCGCGGUCCCAUAUUCCUCUACGAAGACCAUUUAGGGAAGCCAAGCCCCGAGGAAUAUCCCGUUUUUAAUGGAGUCAACCUGGCUGAUGGGAAAUGGCAUCGGAUUGCAAUAAGUGUUCACAAGAAGACAGUCACCAUGAUCCUGGAUUGCAAAAAGAAGUUCAAUAAAUCACUGAACAGGAGCAAACAGCCAGUGAUUGACACAAACGGUAUUGUCGUGUUUGGGACGAGGAUACUGGAUGAAGAUGUUUUUGAGGGCGACAUCCAGCAACUCCUGAUCGUACCUGAUCACAGAGCAGCUUAUGAUUACUGUGAACAUUACAGCCCUGACUGUGAUAAUCCCCUACCCGACUCACCACAGUCUCAGGAUCCCAACUUUGAUGACUAUGACAAUUUGGAAGAGAGUUAUUAUUAUGAAUAUCCUUAUUAUGAAGAAUUCCCAGAUGAUUAUAAGGAAGCCCCCACUGAAACAAUUCCAGAAUAUGGAGAACAGAUCACAGGACCAAUCACUGCAGUGCCAGACCACCAGGAGAGUGAGACUGAAGCUAAGGAAGAAGUGUUUGAGGAAACUACAGUUACCAUCCCAGAAACCACGACUGCAGAAUACCCAACAGUAGUGACAAGCUAUUAUGAUAUCUACGGAGAGGACUAUUAUUAUCCAUUCACAGAUGAAAAAUUGGACAAAGAAGAUGAUGUAGCUUCAAGAAGAGAUUGGCCGGACAAUCAGACCCACACUGUUGGCAUCGAUGUGUUCAUCCACAAUGAGACUGUACUAGAAGAAAAUCCAGAGUACACUGAUGUGGAUUUGGAAGAGACGUCUGUUUCAGGGGAAACUGAAGACAAGUUCAACGUAACAACAAUCAAUGAAGAAGAUCCCAACUCAUUCUUUGAUGACUAUGAAGUUUAUUACGAUUAUGAGGAUCCUGAAGGUGGGUCAGAAGUUGGCCCAGUUUCACCUGCGCUUACAGAUACGGACUAUGGAAGGGCCAAUGGUCCAAGGGGUGAGAAGGGUCAGAAGGGUGAACCGGCCAUUAUUGAACCUGGAAUGUUGAUUGAAGGGCCUCCGGGCCCUGAAGGACCAUCUGGUAACCCUGGGCGCAGUGGCCCCCCUGGACCUCCAGGGCCAGUAGGUGAUCCAGGCUUGAGGGGACCCCGAGGACGAUCCGGACUUCCCGGAGCUGACGGAUUACCCGGACCACCAGGGACUAUGCUGAUGCUGCCUUUCCGGUUCACAGGAGGUGGCAGCGCUGGAGAAAAGGGGCCGAUGCUGUCAGCACAGGAGGCCCAGGCACAGGCAAUAUUACAGCAGGCCCGGCUGGCAUUGAGAGGCCCAACAGGACCAAUGGGAUUGACUGGCAGACCAGGCCCCAUUGGGCCUCCUGGAUACCUCGGAAUCAAGGGGGAAAUGGGAGACCUUGGCCCUCAGGGUCCAAGAGGUGCUCAAGGUCCACCUGGUCCUACAGGGAAACCAGGCCGCAGGGGUCGAUCAGGAUCUGAUGGAUCCAGAGGAAUGCCAGGCCCAUCUGGACGAAAGGGUGACCGAGGUUUUGAUGGACUUCCUGGGCUGCCGGGUGAGAAGGGAAACAGAGGGGAUGCAGGCCCACAGGGACCCCCUGGACCUCCAGGGGAGGAUGGAGAGAGGGGCGAUGACGGAGAAGUGGGUCCAAGAGGGUUACCUGGCGAACCAGGCCCCCGGGGAUUACUGGGACCAAAAGGACCUGCAGGAGUUCCAGGGCCCCCAGGAGUGACAGGCAUGGACGGUCACCAUGGCCCCAAGGGUAGUCAGGGUCCUCAAGGUGAACCCGGACCCCCAGGGCAGCAAGGAAAUCCUGGAGCUCAGGGUCUCCCAGGGCCACAGGGACCAAUUGGACCUCCAGGAACCAAAGGUCCCACUGGCAAACCAGGUCUACCAGGGUUACCAGGAUCAGACGGACCCCCGGGUCAUCCUGGCAAAGAAGGUCCCACUGGAGAGAAGGGAAGCCCGGGUGCAGCAGGGCCACAGGGGCCCAUUGGCUAUCCAGGGCCACGUGGGGUCAAGGGUGCUGAUGGUGUUCGUGGUUUUAUGGGACACAAAGGUGAGAAGGGUGAAGACGGCUUCCCAGGUUUCAAAGGCGACAUGGGAGUAAAGGGUGACAGAGGUGAGAUUGGCCCAGCAGGUCCCAGGGGAGAAGAUGGUCCCGAAGGUCCCAAGGGUCGUUUUGGGCCUUCAGGAGAUAUUGGUCCACCUGGAGCAGCUGGUGAAAAGGGAAAGCUCGGAGUUCCAGGCUUGCCGGGAUACCCAGGAAGACAAGGCCCAAAAGGUUCGAUUGGAUUCCCAGGAUUCCCAGGAGCGAAUGGCGAGAAAGGAGUGAGGGGCACUCCGGGAAAAGCAGGCCCAAGAGGACAGAGAGGCCCAACGGGUCCACGAGGUGAACGUGGUCCAAGAGGAUCAACAGGAAAAGCCGGCCCUAAGGGUAGCUCAGGCAAUGAUGGUCCACCUGGUCCUUCUGGUGAGAGGGGGCCGCCUGGACCUCAGGGACCAAUGGGAUUCGCUGGACCCAAAGGACCCCCUGGCCCAGCUGGUAAAGAUGGGUUACCUGGACACCCAGGGCAACGAGGUGAAACUGGUUUCCAAGGGAAAACUGGCCCACCUGGUCCUCCUGGAGUGGUUGGUCCACAAGGUUCCACAGGAGAGACUGGCCCCCUCGGGGAACGUGGUCACCCAGGACCCCCUGGUCCCCCUGGAGAACAAGGUCUGCCCGGCUCUGCUGGGAAAGAAGGUGCAAAGGGUGAUCCUGGUCCUGCAGGCCCUCCUGGGAAGGAUGGCCCACCAGGCCUCAGAGGAUUCACUGGUGAGCGUGGACUCGCUGGACCUCUCGGUCAGAUCGGUUUGAAAGGCAGUGAAGGUCCUCCUGGGCCCCCAGGGCCAUUGGGCUCUCCAGGUGACCGUGGACAGGCUGGGCCAGCAGGACCAAUAGGUCUCCCAGGACGACCUGGGCCUCAAGGUCCUCCAGGCCCUUCUGGUGAAAAGGGAGCCCCUGGCGAGAAGGGGCCUCAGGGACCAGCAGGUCGAGAUGGAAUUCAGGGUCCAGUCGGCCUCCCAGGUCCAGCUGGACCAUCGGGACCACCUGGUGAAGAUGGAGACAAGGGUGAAUCUGGUGAACCAGGACAAAAGGGGAGCAAAGGUGACAAGGGUGAACAGGGUCCACCUGGUCCUUCAGGACCUCAAGGCCCCAUAGGACAACCUGGGCCAGCUGGUGCUGAUGGUGAGCCUGGUCCUAGAGGGCAGCAAGGUCUCUUUGGCCAGAAAGGUGACGAAGGUCCAAGAGGUUUCCAUGGUCCUCCUGGUCCAGUUGGUCUUCAGGGAUUACCUGGCCCACCAGGUGAGAAAGGUGAGACAGGUGACGUGGGACCAAUGGGUCCACCUGGCCCUCCAGGACCCCGAGGCCCAUCUGGUGCUCCUGGGGCAGAUGGUCCACAAGGUCCUGCUGGAGGAAUUGGUAAUCCCGGAGCAGUGGGCGAGAAGGGUGAUACUGGUGAAGCAGGUGCACCGGGACCUCCAGGAUACUUGGGAAUGCCAGGGCCGAAAGGUGAACGGGGUGAGAAAGGUGAAUCUGGGCCAUCUGGUGCUGCUGGACCUCCAGGUCCAAAAGGUCCUCCUGGUGAUGAUGGCCCGAAGGGAAGCCCUGGUCCAGUUGGUUUCCCCGGUGACCCUGGCCCCCCUGGUGAAGCUGGACCUCCGGGUCAAGAUGGACCUUCAGGAGACAAAGGAGAAGACGGUGAAGCUGGGCAGAUUGGUUCCCCUGGUCCAACUGGUGAGGCAGGGCCGCCUGGUCCUCCAGGAAAGAGGGGUCCUCAUGGUCCAGCAGGUCCUGAAGGAAGACAAGGAGAGAAAGGAGCAAAGGGCGACCCCGGUGCUGAAGGUCCUGCUGGUAAGACAGGCCCAGUCGGCCCACAAGGAUCUCCAGGCAAACCGGGCUCUGAGGGGCUGCGAGGAAUCCCAGGCCCUGUUGGUGAGCAAGGUUUCCCAGGCCCUCCCGGUCCAACUGGUCCACCAGGCCCAAUGGGUCCUCCUGGAUUGCCAGGUCUGAAGGGUGAUCCUGGUACAAAGGGUGAGAAGGGACAUCCCGGUUUGAUUGGUUUGAUUGGGCCUCCAGGAGAACAGGGUGAGAAAGGUGACCGAGGCCUGCCUGGCCCUCAGGGGCCCGAAGGUUCAAAAGGAGAUACGGGUGUCCAUGGUCAGGCCGGUCCUAUUGGCCCUCCUGGUCCUCCGGGAUUAACUGGUCCACCUGGUCCUAAGGGUUCUAAAGGCUCCUCGGGCCUCACUGGUCCCAAAGGUGAAACUGGAAUACAAGGACCACCGGGUGCUCCUGGUCCUGCUGGUGAAGUCAUUCAGCCCUUCCCAAUCCAUUCUUCAAAGAGAGCUAAACGUUCCAUUGAUGCCAGCCAGCUUUUGGAAGAAGGAGUUCCUGAUAACUACCUGGACUAUGCAGAUGGAAUGGAAGAAAUCUUUGGUUCUCUGAACUCACUAAAACUGGAGAUUGAACAGAUGAAGCACCCAAUGGGAACACAGAACAAUCCUGCGCGUACCUGCAAGGACCUGCACCUCUGUCACCCUGACUUUCCUGACGGUGAAUACUGGAUUGAUCCAAACCAAGGCUGCUCCAGGGACUCGUUCAAAGUUUUCUGUAACCUCACAUCUGGAGGAGAAACUUGCAUCUUCCCAGAGAAGAAAUCUGAAGGAGCAAGAGUCACAUCUUGGCCCAAGGAGGUACCAGGCUCCUGGUUCAGUGAAUACAAGCGUGGUAAUCUGCUGUCCUAUACAGAUGCAGACAGUAAUCCAGUUGGAGUGGUACAGAUGACCUUCCUGAGGCUGUUGAGUGCCUCUGCCCACCAGAACCUGACCUACAACUGCCACCAAACUGUGGCCUGGUACGACUCGACCACAGACAAUUAUGACAAGGCCAUUCGUUUCCUGGGCUCGAACGAUGAAGAGAUGUCAUAUGACAACAACCCUUACAUCCAAGCCAUUGUAGACAAAUGUGCAACAAGGAAAGGCUAUCAGAAGACGAUAUUACAGAUUAAUACUCCCAAAGUGGAGCAGCUGCCCUUCAUCGACAUCAUGUUCAAUGACUUUGGAGAGUCAGGCCAGAAAUUUGGCUUUGAAAUUGGACCUGUCUGUUUCGUGGGAUAAAGAUUACAGCCUUCACAGAGAGAGACAAAAACUGUUUAAACACACACACACACACACACACACACACACACACACACACCUACACACACCCACUGACACUCACAAACGCACACAAACACAUGUGCACACACACAGAGGAAGAAUGAGAGAGUGCAGAAAGCAACAACACUGUAACCUCACUGAGCGAGUUGACAGACUGGAGAAAUGAAGCUGAGUUCUGACUUCACCCUUCACCUUCGAUAGGAAAACUGUACCUGGAAAUGAAUAUCCAGCUUUCGGCAAACAGGAACCUCCAGACUUUAAACUAGUGCGGUGAACAAUUAGACAACCUCGAGGCUGUUAAAUUCUAGCCCCCUCCCCACUCCCUCGCCCCCACACCCCCAAAGCUAAGUGAAGUUUUGAAAACCAACAGGAAAUCUCUCUGAUCAAGCAGCCACGAGUGGUCAGUCUCGGCCAGAGAAAGUCGGGUUCAUGUUUUGGGGUAACUCCGUUCCAGAGCGGCCCCUCCCAUUGUGAACAAUCAGCCACUUCUCUCCUUCUGAAACUGACUGAACCUCUCUCUCUCUCUGUACCUCCUGCAAUAUUUUGUGCUCUUAUUUCAGAUUCAUAGGUUUUUUUUAAAUCUCCUCAAAUAAAUGUUUUGAAUUGAAACCCUUCCUCAGAAAUGGUGCUGACAAUUUAUUAUUUCUUUUUGAAACAAAUUUUUGUACGUUUCUACGCCUUGCCAGAGGUGCCUGAAGAUUAACCAGAAAACUCUGUACGACGAGGAGACAAGGCGUUUUCCGAAGAUUUAGGUGCUAUUUAAACGUCUCGCCUGUGGUGCUAUUUUGUCCGAUUAAUGCUGUUGAUUUUAUUUACAAUGCACAACUGAUGUCCCUUGAAUGUUGUCCCAAGGAUCGAAGCUCCCUAAUGGUCCCACUGCCGCCUGAAACCCAGCUCUAUCAACAUUAUGCAUUCUGUUUCAUAUUCAUAUAUUCAGACUUUUUUUUCGAAGAACAGGAGAGUCUCCUUCAAUGUGAUCUCUCUCCCCCUCCCCUCUGUGUAAAUUGUGCAUUAUUUUCGAUUUCCAUUUUCAGAUUGAGUUUUUACAAGAGCAGGGAGUUGAGAACAGCCACUGCCAAUAACCAGCAGUGGGAUGUUUGUGGUGCUAAUUUAUGUAUUGGAUAGAAACAUCAAUCUAGAUCUUAUUGUUUUCAUUGAUAAAUUAUCCCUAAACAUUAGGGUAACAGCUUUCAACAGUCAUCCUGUGCUCACUUUUCAUCACAUCCUUUUCCAUCGUACUCUUUCUUUUGUUGAGUUUUGCAUUUUUUGCUGAUUAUUUUUUUGCUGCAGUUUGAGAUUGUUGGCCCCACAUCUCACUGCCUGGCCCUGAACUCCUAUCAUUCCAUUUAUUCUGAUCGUUUUAUCCAUCUCUUCCCUUCUCCUCACCCACUUCUCACUGCCUCACCUCUUACAGAGUGGCUUCUUUAUAUAUAUAUCUCUCUCUCUAUUCAUUUCUCAUUCGAUUUCUCUUUCUCUAUUGCAUCAUGUACUUUUUCUCUAGGCCUCUCUCACUCGCUGCUACUCUCUCUCUUCCUCACUAUCUUUCUCAAUCUCUUUUUCUCUCUCUCCAUCUCCCUAUCUCUCCCACUCACUGCCUCUUUUUCUCUCUCCAUCUCUCUCAUUCACUGUCUCUUUCUCUCUCUGUCCCACAUUCUGACACACUUUCAUUCUCUCACUGUCUGCUACUCUCUCUCACAUGAUCCCUCUCUCAUUCACACACAUACAGCUCUCACCGCACAGUCUCUCUCUAUCUCAGACACUCACUUUCCUGCUGUAUCUCUGUGUGUCUCCCACUCUCUCUGCCUCCCUCUCUCAUUCUCUCGGUUUCUCUCUCUCCCCCUCACUCUCUCUUCACUGCUAUCCAAGCCGGUAUUGCCUUUGCGUUAAAAAUACUUUUGUAAUUUUAUUUUUCUUAAGAAACAUGUGACUUGAACAUAAAAUAUUGUUAAUGAUGAACUGUUGGAGGGUUUUUUGGUACUUUUUAUUGGCCCUGAAUCUUUGAUCAGAUCGUUAUAAUUGUCAUGUGACAUAUUGUAAAUGUUUGAGAUCCCAAUAAACUUGUUCAUGAAACAAA